rnacentral:lncRNA from 1 species
GAGUGUCGGUGUCUUUGGCACUCUUUACACUCAAUUUUUUAAAUAUUGAUGCUCAUGGCCAUACUGCGGCUGAACGUCAUUGUUCAGAGCCAGAUAGGCCCAAUGAGAUGGUUAAAUGGAAAAAUGUCCUUGAUAAUAAAUGGUAUGGCCCGGAUCCUAUCUUGAUAAGAUCCAGGGGAGCUAUCUGUGUUUUCCCACAGAAUGAAGACAACCCAUUUUGGGUACCAGAAAGACUCACCCGAAAAAUCCAGACUGACCAAGGGAAUACUAAUGUCCCUCGUCUUGGUGAUGUCCAGGGCGUCAAUAAUAAAGAGAGAGCAGCGUUGGGGGAUAAUGUCGACAUUUCCACUCCCAAUGACGGUGAUGUAUAAUGCUCAAGUAUUCUCCUGCUUUUUUACCACUAACUAGGAACUGGGUUUGGCCUUAAUUCAGACAGCCUUGGCUCUGUCUGGACAGGUCCAGAUGACUGACACCAUUAACACUUUGUCAGCCUCAGUGACUACAGUCAUAGAUGAACAGGCCUCAGCUAAUGUCAAGAUACAGAGAGGUCUCAUGCUGGUUAAUCAACUCAUAGAUCUUGUCCAGAUACAACUAGAUGUAUUAUGACAAAUAACUCAGCAGGGAUGUGAACAAAAGUUUCCGGGAUUGUGUGUUAUUUCCAUUCAGUAUGUUAAAUUUACUAGGGCAGCUAAUUUGUCAAAAAGUCUUUUUCAGUAUAUGUUACAGAAUUGGAUGGCUGAAUUUGAACAGACCCUUCGAGGCUUGCCAUCAUUCAGGUCAACUCCACGCGCUUGGACCUGUCCCUGACCAAAGGAUUACCCAAUUGGAUCUCCUCAGCAUUUUCUUUCUUUAAAAAAUGGGUGGGAUUAAUAUUAUUUGGAGAUACACUUUGCUGUGGAUUAGUGUUGCUUCUUUGAUUGGUCUGUAAGCUUAAGGCCUAAACUAGGAGAGACAAGGUGGUUAUUGCCCAGGCGCUUGCAGGACUAGAACAUGGAGCUUCCCCUGAUAUAUCUAUGCUUAGGCAAUAGGUCGCUGGCCACUCAGCUCUUAUAUCUCACGAGGCUAGUCUCAUUGCACGAGAUAGAGUGAGUGUGCUUCAGCAGCCCGAGAGAGUUGCAAGGCUAAGCACUGCAAUGGAAAGGCUCUGCGGCAUAUAUGAGCCUAUUCUAGGGAGACAUGUCAUCUUUCAUGAAGGUUCAGUGUCCUAGUUCCCUUCCCCCAGGCAAAACGACACGGGAGCAGGUCAGGGUUGCUCUGGGUAAAAGCCUGUAAGCCUAAGAGCUAAUCCUGUACAUGGCUCCUUUACCUACACACUGGGGAUUUGACCUCUAUCUCCACUCUCAUUAAUAUGGGUGGCCUAUUUGCUCUUAUUAAAAGAAAAAGGGGGAGAUGUUGGGAGCCGCCCCCACAUUCGCCGUUACAAGAUGGCGCUGACAUCCUGUGUUCUAAGUGGUAAACAAAUAAUCUGCGCAUGUGCCAAGGGUAUCUUAUGACUACUUGUGCUCUGCCUUCCCCGUGACGUCAACUCGGCCGAUGGGCUGCAGCCAAUCAAGGAGUGACACGUCCGAGGCGAAGGAGAAUGCUCCUUAAGAGGGACGGGGUUUUCGUUUUCUCUCUCUCUUGCUUCUCUCUCUUGCUUCUUGCUCUCUUUUCCUGAAGAUGUAAGAAUAAAGCUUUGCCGC